rnacentral:rRNA from 1 species
UCAGUAACACCGUAGUCAACAUGCCCAGGGGACGUGGAUAACCUCGGGAAACUGAGGAUAAACCGCGAUAAGUCACUACUUCUGGAAUGGGUAAUGACUUAAAUCUAUAUGGCCCCUGGAUUGGACUGCGGCCGAUCAGGCUGUUGGUGAGGUAAUGGCCCACCAAACCUGUAACCGGUACGGGCUCUGAGGGGAGGAGCCCGGAGAUGGGCACUGAGACAAGGGCCCAGGCCCUAUGGGGCGCAGCAGGCGCGAAACCUCUGCAAUAGGCGAAAGCCUGACAGGGUUACUCUGAGUGAUUUCCGUUAAGGAGAUCUUUUGGCACCUCUAAAAAUGGUGCAGAAUAAGGGGUGGGCAAGUC